rnacentral:lncRNA from 1 species
UUUUUUUUUUUUCCUUUUAGGGCUGUACCUGUGGCACAUGGAAGUUCCCAGGCUAGGGGUCAAAUAGGAGCUGCCACUGAUGGUCUAUACCACAGAGACAGCAAUACCUGAUCUAAGCCACAUUUGUGACCUAGGCCACAGCUUGUGGCAACGCCAGAUCCUUAAUUCACUGAGCAGGGACACAGACUGAACCUGUACCCUCACAAACACUACGUCAGAUUCUUAACCCACUGAGCCACAAUGGGAACUCCUGGUAAUGACUUUUUAGAUAUGAUGCCAAAAACACAGUACGUGAAAUAAUGAUAAGCUAGACUUCAUUAAAAUUUAAAAAUUCUGCUAUGCAAAAGACACUUUCAAGAGAAUGAGACAACAAGCCACACAUUAGGAGAAAAUUCUGCAUAAGUCUUAUCUGAUAAAAAACCAUUAUUGAAAAUAUGAACUCUUUAAAACUCAAGAGUAAGAAAAAAAGCAAAUCAUUAAAAAAUAGGCCAAAGACCUUAACAGAUAACUCACGAAAUUAGAUAUACAGAUGGCAAACAAUCAUACAAAAAGGUGUUUCGUGUCAUAUCUCAUCAAGGAAAUGCAAAUUAAAAAAACAGUAAGACACCACUACACAACUGGAUGGUCAUAAUCAAAAAACACCCACGACAACACCAACUGCUGGUGAGGAUGUGGAGCCACAGGAACUCUCACUAAGUACUGGUGAAAAUGUAAAUGGAUACAGCCACUUUAUAAGGCAGUUUAACAAUUUCUAACAAAACCACACAUACCCUUACCACACAGUCCAGCAAUCAUGUUUCUUGGAAUUUACCUAAAGGUGUUAAAAACUCUGUCCACACAGAAACCUUCACAUAUAUGUUUGUAGCUGCUUUAUUAUAACUGCCAAAACUUGGAAACAACCAUGAUAUCCUUUGGGAGAUGGAAGGAUAACUAAACUGUGGUACACCUGGGCAAUGGACUAUUAUUACUCAGCCCUAAAAAGAAAUAAGCUAUAAAGCAAUGAAAAGAUAUGGAGGAAGCUUAAAUGCCUUAUUCCCAAAGAGGCUGAACUAAAAAGGCUACAUAGUCCAUGAUUCCAAUUAAAUAACUUUCUGGAAAAGGUAAAGCCUUGGAGAGAGUGAAAUGAUCAGUGGUUAGGCUGGGUUAGGGGGAGGGAGGGAUGAACAGGCAGAGCAGAGAGAAUUUUUAGGUCUGUGAAAAUACUCUGCAAGAUACUAUAAUGGUGGGUGCUUGUCACUAUACAUUUGUCUCAACUCAUUGAGUCCACAACACCAGGACUGAACCCAAAAGCAAACUAUAUGGACUUUGGCUGAUUAUGCUGUGUCAGUGUAGGUUCAUCAAUUGUAACAAAUGUACCACUGUUGUGAGAGGUGUUGAUAAUUAGGGAAAUUAUGUAUGUGUGGGCAGGGAGUAUAUGGGAACUCU